rnacentral:rRNA from 1 species
UUGAACGCUGGCGGCAUGCCUUACACAUGCAAGUCGAACGGUAGAGGGGCAACCCUUGAGAGUGGCGAACGGGUGAGUAAUGCAUCGGAACGUGCCCAGUCGUGGGGGAUAACGCAGCGAAAGCUGUGCUAAUACCGCAUGUGAUCUGUGGAUGAAAGCAGGGGACCGCAAGGCCUUGUGCGAUUGGAGCGGCCGAUGUCAGAUUAGCUAGUUGGUAGGGUAAAAGCCUACCAAAGGCGACGAUCUGUAGCU